AUGCCACUCUCCAGUCUGCUCUGGGUGUUUCUGGCCUUCUCCUUCUCUGGAUCUGGUGUGGCCCAGAAAGUUACUCAAGACCAGCCAGACAUAACCCGUCAAGUGGAGCAGUCAGUCACUCUGAACUGUCAGUAUGAAGUAAGUUGGUACAUGGAGUACUACUCCAUUUUUUGGUACAAGCAGCUUCCCAGGGGACAGAUGACUUACCUCAUUCGUCAGUAUUCAGAAGAUGGGAAUGCAAGGGACGGCCGCUACUCUGUAAACUUCCAGAAAGCAGAUAAGUCCAUCAGCCUCACCAUUUCGGCCUUACAGCCGGAAGAUACUGCGAAGUACUUCUGUGCUCUCCGUGAACUCACAGUGGUUGAAGUAAUGGGAAAAGCUGAACAAAAACCCCAGAGCUUAAUAAGAGAGAACCUCCCUGCUGCAGGACUCCAGCUGAAAUGCACACCUGCAGAUCCCAGCAAGAAAUGGUAA